CCUACGGGUGGCUGCAGUGAGGAAUAUUGGUCAAUGGACGAGAGUCUGAACCAGCCAAGUAGCGUGAAGGAUGACUGCCCUAUGGGUUGUAAACUUCUUUUAUAUGGGAAUAAAAUGCUCCACGUGUGGGAUUUUGUAUGUACCAUAUGAAUAAGGAUCGGCUAACUCCGUGCCAGCAGCCGCGGUAAUACGGAGGAUCCGAGCGUUAUCCGGAUUUAUUGGGUUUAAAGGGAGCGUAGGUGGAUUGUUAAGUCAGUUGUGAAAGUUUGCGGCUCAACCGUAAAAUUGCAGUUGAAACUGGCAGUCUUGAGUACAGUAGAGGUGGGCGGAAUUCGUGGUGUAGCGGUGAAAUGCUUAGAUAUCACGAAGAACUCCGAUUGCGAAGGCAGUUCACUGGACUGAAACUGACACUGAGGCUCGAAAGUGUGGGUAUCAAACAGGAUUAGAUACCCUUGUAGUC
rnacentral:rRNA from 1 species